rnacentral:tRNA from 1 species
GGAACCAUGGCUCUAAUGCUGAGGUUGACAAACGAGCUGUGGACUUCGAGAUGAUAAUACUAAUAAUAAUAAUACAGCCCGAAGGUUUUUGAGAUGAAUUUUGAGGCACGACAUGGUCCUAUAAUUAUAAUAGCCUUUUUCACAAUCCUAGAAUGAAACCUAUCGUCAUGUAAGACGCCAACGUUUAAUCCCACCAUAUCAGACAAAGAAAAUGCAAUGGCAUUGGCCGCUUACUGGCACGCUAAAUACUUCUGGCUGGUACAAAUGUUAACAGGAGAAGAGGAGGAGAGUAAAUUGAGCAGAUUUACAGAGAGAAAAUACUUGUGUUCCCUUUACAUGAUCGCUUGUAUAUACGAUAAAGAGAGAUCGGAUUUUACGAAACAUUUACUAAAGAUGGAGGCGGCAUUUCUUUCCGCGAAAUGUGAGGCCAAAUUACCGAGAUUUUUUUUAAAAAAAAAAAAAAGGAGUAGAAGAAGAGCCACAAAGAGAAAAAAAUAUCAUGACUAGACUGGGGUUCGAUCCCAGGACCUUAUCGGCACAUUUCGGCGAUGAGUCAACGUCGCUUGCGCGAGUCGGCCGAUUAUGUGAGCGAUACGUGAUAACCAACUACACCAUCCAGCCAUUUUUGAUAGUACUUGAGCCGGGCAAAAAGGCUUUUUUCCAUACUGGGUUUCUAUAACCCAUCACCACGGAAAGGAGUAGUAAUGACCACACAGUGUGGCUGUUUUUUAUGAAGCUAAUUUUUAUAAGGUCUUGCUAAAGUAUGCCAGACAUUUAGCUAGCGGAGUGUGAGGUGAAGAGGCAAUGAGAUCCCACAGUCCAACUUAUUCCGCAAUGGCGCAGGCACUAUUCAAAAGCAUAUACAACUUCUCAUCUCCAAAAAACCUGCUUCACAGAUCUUGGAACAAAACAUAAAACCAAAUCUUAACCCCUCCUCCCCCACCACCAAUGGCCAUAUAUGCACCUCGUCUUAAUCAAGGUGGCAGGAUGAUAAUAAUAAAUUCAUCAAAAUGUUUCAUUUAUUGGGGGGGGGAGUUACUUGCACACGCAUAGAGAUGGGACUUUUUAGCGUUGGAGAGAAACUUCUGCGAUUGGUACCCUGCGCAUCGCACGGACAUAAGGAAGACGCAGGCAUGAACCCUGGUACCCUGGGGAAUGUUGGUAGCUCUGGACGCAGGUACGAGAAGUUAGAAUUGUGAACAAUGCUCGGUAACAUUACCACCCUAGGUGUGGGGUCCAACUAUUUGCUAUUUAUUGUUUUAUUAACAGAACGCGUAUUAAGUACACAAAGUUGGUCUUGCGUGUACCUGGAGGGCAAAAAAAUCAAGAAAAGCAGCGAGCCAAAAUGGUAUCAGGGCCGAAAGUACCCCACGAACCAAAAUAUCCAUAAUAAUAAAGUACAAGAGGACAAUGAGAUAUGAGUCUGUUACAAGAUAUGGGAAGAAAAGGGGGGAAAAUAUUAUCAAAGAUGCAUAAGAGAAGAAGGUCGGGUCAAGUUUUAGUUUGUAGGCAGAAGAGAGAUGGAGCCGCACCGGGGCCAAUCUAACAAACAUAGAACGCCAUUGAAUGAUUUUUACGUGCAACAACCCGGAAGAUGGAAAAAAAAAAAGAAUGUGUAUAUCAGAAGUUCGCCGGAAAAAAAGGAAGAAACUGUGGUAUAAUAAACGACAUGAAAUGAAAUAUCGUUGAACAUGCCCAUAAUAGCCUCCAAAUGAACCAAUGUAAAACUCCGUAUCGUACCUUACCACAAGAAAACAGAGGGAAUGGUGGAAACCCCUCCAGCCCCUAUUGUAACAUUCGAAAAGAUUAGAUAUCUCGCCGGUCCGUGUAGAUCGAAAGUCGCCAUUGUCGACGAGGGAGGAGACAUGUAGCAAUCAGCACGUCAAACGACAUUUUCAAGUAUGUUCAUCAAUGCCAUCUAUCGAUUGGUGAUUUUCAGGCCCCUGGAUGGCUUCCUGCGACCUUUCAUGGUCCACGAUAUCCAAAUCUGUGGCUUGGUGCUUGUUGACUUUGUUGUCUCCAGAUGGCGGGACGGCGCAAGUAGCUUUGUCGAUAUUUGUGUUGCCAUUCUCAAGUGCGCCAGUAGCUCUGCCAUUAUUGCUUGCAGCGGCGUGCGACUCAGGUGUAGCAUUGGCGCCAAUCUCCAUGUUGGCUGCCUCCACCUCAGUAGAUUGAAGUGUCGGACUUUCCAACUGUUCAAGUUCGCCACCCUCCCUGCUCUCAAUACCGUCACCCAUUACUUCAUCAGCAUCAUUGGGGUCAAGGAACCUACUACUUCGCCCUCUUCGGAGACCAAUUGUUCUGCUGGAAGGAGUCGGAGUACCCGUAACCUGGCUGGCCGUUCGCUUUGGAGUACUGCGGCCACUUGUUCGUGCCGUAGUGGGAGCAGUGGUUGUAGUGGUGCGUCCUCUGAACUUAUUAGCACGAGUUGAGCCGAAGGGGCGACCAGGGCGACGCUUGGUAAUCGUUCCUGGGAUCGGGGGGAAUAUUUCGAACCGCGUGGGUGGAAUGCCGGCUGCUGGGUUCUGCAUCAUGGAGGACACUGACGGGGUCCUGACACCAUUGGCUUGCCUCAAUGAGGCACCAUCAAAAGGCAUCACACUCAUUGAUGGCGGGCCAGGGGGAUCAAAUGGAGGUGAUACAGAUCUGGCGUGACUGUGUCCAUUGACGAAUCCAUCUUGCAUGCUACUUGUAUCGCCGUUCAUAUUUUCUGCC